rnacentral:rRNA from 1 species
CCUACGGGUGGCAGCAGUGGUGAAUAUUUGUCAAUGGGCGCAAGCCUGACCCAGCAACGCCGCGUGAAGGAAGACGGCCCUCGGGUUUUAAACUUCUUUUAUUCGGGACGAAACAAAUGACGUGACCGAAUGAAUAAGCCACGGCUAACUACGGGCCCGCAGCCGCGGUAAUACGUAGGUGCCCAGCGUUAUCCGGAUUUACUGUGUGUAAAGGGCGUGUAGGCGGGAGAGCAAGUCAGCCGUGAAAUACAAGGGCUCAACCCUGGAACUGCGUUUGAAACUGUUCUUCUUGAGUGGUGGAGAGGCAGGCGGAAUUCCGUGUGUAGCGGUGAAAUGCAUAGAUAUACGGAGGAACACCAGUGGCGAAGGCGGCCUGCUGGACAUUAACUGACGCUGAGGCGCGAAAGCGUGGGGAGCAAACAGGAUUAGAUACCCUAGUAGUC